rnacentral:rRNA from 1 species
AUUGAACGCUGGCGGCAGGCUUAACACAUGCAAGUCGAGCGGAGAUGAGGUGCUUGCACCUUAUCUUAGCGGCGGACGGGUGAGUAAUGCUUAGGAAUCUGCCUAUUAGUGGGGGACAACAUUCCGAAAGGAAUGCUAAUACCGCAUACGUCCUACGGGAGAAAGCAGGGGACCUUCGGGCCUUGCGCUAAUAGAUGAGCCUAAGUCGGAUUAGCUAGUUGGUGGGGUAAAGGCCUACCAAGGCGACGAUCUGUAGCGGGUCUGAGAGGAUGAUCCGCCACACUGGGACUGGAACACGGCCCAGACUCCUACGGGAGGCAGCAGUGGGGAAUAUUGGACAAUGGGCGGAAGCCUGAUCCAGCCAUGCCGCGUGUGUGAAGAAGGCCUUUUGGUUGUAAAGCACUUUAAGCGAGGAGGAGGCUACUUAGAUUAAUACUCUAGGAUAGUGGACGUUACUCGCAGAAUAAGCACCGGCUAACUCUGUGCCAGCAGCCGCGGUAAUAC